AUCCAGCCAUGCCGCGUGUGUGAAGAAGUUCUUCGGAUUGUAAAGCACUUUAAGUUGGGAGGAAGGGUUUCUGGCUAAUAUCCAGGAAUUUUGACGUUACCGACAGAAUAAGCACCGGCUAAGUUCGUGCCAGCAGCCGCGGUAAUACGAAGGGUGCAAGCGUUAAUCGGAAUUACUGGGCGUAAAGCGCGCGUAGGCGGACAUUUAAGUCAGAGGUGAAAUCCCAGGGCUCAACCCUGGAACUGCCUUUGAUACUGGGUGUCUUGAGUACGAGAGAGGUGAGUGGAAUUCCGAGUGUAGAGGUGAAAUUCGUAGAUAUUCGGAAGAACACCAGUGGCGAAGGCGGCUCACUGGCUCGUAACUGACGCUGAGGUGCGAAAGCGUGGGGAGCAAACA
rnacentral:rRNA from 1 species